rnacentral:rRNA from 1 species
AUUGAACGCUGGCGGCAGGCCUAACACAUGCAAGUCGAGCGGAGCGGCGGACGGGUGAGUAAUGCCUAGGAAUCUGCCUGGUAGUGGGGGAUAACGUCCGGAAACGGGCGCUAAUAUCGCAUACUAUCAGAUGAGCCUAGGUCGGAGUGGCUAGUUGGUGGGGUAAAGGCCUACCAAGGCGACGAUCCGUAACUGGUCUGAGAGGAGGAUCAGUCACACGGGAACGGAGACACGGUCCAGGCUCCUACGGGAGGCAGCAGUGGGGAAUAUUGGGCAGUGGGCGAAAGCCUGAUCCAGCCAUGCCGCGUGUGUGAAGAAGGUCUUCGGAUUGUAAAGCACUUUAAGUUGGGAGGCGUUACCAACAGAAUAAGCACCGGCUAACUUCGUGCCAGCAGCCGCGGUAAUUC